ACGCGAAGAACCUUACCUACUCUUGACAUCCAGAGAAUNCNNNAGAGAUAGCUUAGUGCCUUCGGGAACUCUGAGACAGGUGCUGCAUGGCUGUCGUCAGCUCGUGUUGUGAAAUGUUGGGUUAAGUCCCGCAACGAGCGCAACCCUUAUCCUUAUUUGCCAGCACGUAAUGGUGGGAACUCUAGGGAGACUGCCGGUGAUAAACCGGAGGAAGGUGGGGACGACGUCAAGUCAUCAUGGCCCUUACGAGUAGGGCUACACACGUGCUACAAUGGCGAGUACAGAGGGUUGCAAAGCCGCGAGGUGGAGCUAAUCUCACAAAGCUCGUCGUAGUCCGGAUUGGAGUCUGCAACUCGACUCCAUGAAGUCGGAAUCGCUAGUAAUCGUGGAUCAGAAUGCCACGGUGAAUACGUUCCCGGGCCUUGUACACACCGCCCGUCACACCAUGGGAGUGGGCUGCAAAAGAAGUGGGUAGCUUAACCU
rnacentral:rRNA from 1 species